ensembl:lncRNA
GUUCAGCCAGGUGCGUGUUCAGCUUCGCCGUGUACAUCGAACUAGAUGUCAAAACUUGACAUCAUGGGAAAACCUCUACUUUUGUGCAUGGUUGAAUUGGAAGCAGCUCAUUGGUUAACUGUUUAGACAUUCAUUCAGACUUAAGGUUAGAGAUGAGGUUUGGGAUGGUGUCAAAAGGAAACAAAACCCCCACCAAAACAGCAAAACAUCAGAUGGCUCUAGUGUACAAUUGAGAGCAGUUCCUGAAACACCUAAAUGACCAGGCAACACCCCAUGAACCCCUCAGAACAGAAUCAUGGACAUGUUGAUGCUGUCUAUGUAUAAUGGACUGUGAUGUAUAAAACACCCAGCUUUGAGUUUAGCACAGCCGUGUUUUUGUAGGAAGAUCCAG